GUGGUGUAUGAUGUGAACUCACAGUUUGUUUCGACUGGUGAGCCCAGCUUAUAGAGGAGCUGGACUUGGUCUGUAAAAUGGCCAAAGCUGCUUGAGCCUUCUAAUUCAAUAUUGCAGAUAAGAUUUGAAUAACCGCCCAAAAGAUGCACAGAGCAGAUGACCUGAAUUUCUCCCAGAGGCUCAACACAAGGUGGAGCUGCACACCAAACAGGGUUUCGGCAGUUGGCCAAUGUGCAUGCCAAAGACUCACCUGUUGCUCUCUCACAAGGCUGAAAAGAAGGGCGUGCUCACAGGGUUCAUCCUACCAAUCAGGGACAGUGAGCUAGUGUCGGGGCUGGCUUUCUGUUCCCACUGGUUGGCACUGUAUGUUCUUUUGUGCCGACCUAACCUUACCUUUUCUUUCAACGCCAUCUCAUGUGACGUCUAUUUUCACUGCUGUUCACAAACAUAAAUCAUCUAAUUCCAUGGUGGUGUUCACAACCUGAAUUUCUUCAUUCAUCUUUGUACUGUUAACAAAUUUCCAUCCUUUUUUAACACUUUUUCUGAUACUUUAAAUAUUUCAAACUC